GCUAAGUCAUAAACAUUAAUGGUUACCUCACCAAGCCAUUCGCCAGAACACUACAAGUGAAAAACUUAAAAUUCAAAGGACUUGACGGUGUCCCACCCCGACCUAGAGGAGCCUGUCCUAUAAUCGAUAAUCCCCGUUUCACCUAACCUCAACUAGCAUUUACACAGCCUAUAUACCGCCGUCGACAGUCUACCCUAUGAGGGUCUAAUAGUAGACAAAAUAGCAACUACUCGCUAAAACGUCAGGUCAAGGUGUAGCAAAUGUUGAGGGAGCGAUUGGCUACAUUUUUUAUUUUAAAAUACACGGAAAUACAACAUGAAAUCAUGUACUAAGGUGAAUUUAGUAGUAAAAUAGGCUAGAAUACCUACUUUAACAUCGCUCUGGGACGCGU
rnacentral:rRNA from 1 species